GUGGUAUUACAUCUAUAAGUUCAAACUCUUAGAAGUUCGGGGCAUAUAAAUAAUGAAAAAAAAUGUUUUGAAUAAAAUAGUAGUGCAUAUACACUUCCCAUUCUAUUAUAUAGUUUUUUCACUAGACUUCAUAGUAAAAGUGGCACCGCUUUAGCCGCAAAUAGAGCUCACAUGGGGAUUUGAAUUGUCUAUAUUCACAGAAGUGCGACCUGUAUACUGUCAAAG
rnacentral:lncRNA from 1 species